CAGUGGGACGAAAAGACCCCGUGCACCUUUACUAUAGCUUCGUAUUGACCUUGGUCAAACAAUGUGUAGGAUAGCUGGGAGGCUUUGAAGCUGCGUCGCCAGGCGUGGUGGAGCCGUUGUUGAAAUACCAGCCUUUGUUUGAUCGGGGCCUAACCUCUAACGAGGGACAGUGCGUGGUGGGUAGUUUGACUGGGGUGGGCGCCUCCAAAAGAGUAACGGAGGC
rnacentral:rRNA from 1 species